GAUGAACGCUGGCGGCGUGCCUAAUACAUGCAAGUCGAGCGAACAGACGAGGAGCUUGCUCCUCUGACGUUAGCGGCGGACGGGUGAGUAACACGUGGAUAACCUACCUAUAAGACUGGGAUAACUUCGGGAAUCCGGAGCUAAUACCGGAUAAUAUAUUGAACCGCAUGGUUCAAUAGUGAAAGACGGUUUUGCUGGCACUUAUAGAUGGAUCCGCGCCGCAUUAGCUAGUUGGUAAGGUAACGGCUUACCAAGGCAACGAUGCGUAGCCGACCUGAGAGGGGGAUCGGCCACACUGGAACUGAGACACGGUCCAGACUCCUACGGGAGGCAGCAGUAGGGAAUCUUCCGCAAUGGGCGAAAGCUUGACGGAGCAACGCCGCGUGAGUGAUGAAGGUCUUCGGAUCGUAAAACUCUGUUAUUAGGGAAGAACAAAUGUGUAAGUAACUAUGCACGUCUUGACGGUACCUAAUCAGAAAGCCACGGCUAACUACGUG
rnacentral:rRNA from 1 species